rnacentral:lncRNA from 1 species
UAAAAGCAGUUUGUGGUUCAAUUAAAAGUCAUAAGUUUAGUUCCACUCACCUCUGGCUAUCUGGACUGACUGACUCUGCAGGCUCUGAACCUCUGUAGCAGUACUCACUGCUGCUCUCUCUGGUUCCUCUGGUCUGUACCUAUACAGAUGGACUCAAAUGAGGGACCAAACAAGCGUAGAAUAAUUCUCUUAACCUUUCCCAAGAAUCCCCUUAAACUCACUCAACUAUCCAUGCAAAGCAUGCAAAAGAAAGCUGGACAGGACACUUUCGGCGGCAGGUUCGGCGGCCGAAAGUCCUCUCCAGAGACGAAACUCAAGCACCUUCGGCGGCACCUUCGGCGGCCGAAUCCCCCAAACAGAGCCGAACAUGCAAAACUCGCGGGGGCAAGCUGGGGCAGCCUAAGCCACCAUGCAAGAGGUUCGGCGGCCGAAUGAACCUUCGGCUGCCGAACCUGAGUUCAUCCAGAACUCAGCU